AUUGAACGCUGGCGGCAUGCUUUACACAUGCAAGUCGAACGGUAACAGGCCUUCGGGUGCUGACGAGUGGCGAACGGGUGAGUAAUGCAUCGGAACGUGCCCAGAGGUGGGGGAUAACGCAGCGAAAGCUGUGCUAAUACCGCAUAUUAUCUGAGGAUGAAAGCGGGGGACUAAGCAGCAAUGUUUGGCCUCACGCCUUUGGAGCGGCCGAUGUCAGAUUAGGUAGUUGGUGGGGUAAAGGCCUACCAAGCCGACGAUCUGUAGCUGGUCUGAGAGGACGACCAGCCACACUGGGACUGAGACACGGCCCAGACUCCUACGGGAGGCAGCAGUGGGGAAUUUUGGACAAUGGGCGCAAGCCUGAUCCAGCAAUGCCGCGUGCAGGAAGAAGGCCUUCGGGUUGUAAACUGCUUUUGUACGGAACGAAAAGACUCUGGAUAAUACCUGGGGUUCAUGACGGUACCGUAAGAAUAAGCACCGGCUAACUACGUG
rnacentral:rRNA from 1 species